rnacentral:tRNA from 1 species
GGAGUGGUGGCCGAGUGGUCGAAGGCGCGUCCCUGCUAAGGACGUAUACUCGUAAGGGUAUCGAGGGUUCAAAUCCCUCCUGCUCCGC